UACGUAGGGUCCGAGCGUUGUCCGGAAUUAUUGGGCGUAAAGGGCGCGUAGGCGGUCACGCACGUCCGUUGUGAAAUCGCUCGGCUCAACUGGGCGGGGUCAGCGGAUACGGCGUGGCUGGAGCAAGCUAGGGGGCAAUGGAAUUCCCGGUGUAGUGGUGGAAUGCGUAGAUAUCGGGAGGAACACCAGUGGCGAAGGCGGUUGCCUGGAGCUUUGCUGACGCUGAUGCGCGAAAGCGUGGGGAGCGAUCCGG
rnacentral:rRNA from 1 species